GAUGAAGAACGUAGCGAAAUGCGAUAAGUAAUGUGAAUUGCAGAAUUCAGUGAAUCAUCGAAUCUUUGAACGCACAUUGCGCCCUCUGGUAUUCCGGGGGGCAUGCCUGUUCAAGCGUCAUUAUAACCACUCAAGCUCUCGCUUGGUAUUGGGGUUCGCGGUUCCGCGGCCCCUAAAAUCAGUGGCGGUGCCUGUCGGCUCUACGCGUAGUAAUACUCCUCGCGUCUGGGUCCGGUAGGUCUACUUGCCAGCAACCCCCAAUUUUUACAGGUUGACCUCGGAUCAGGUAGGGAUACCCGCUGAACUUAAGCAUAUCAAUAAGCGGAGGA
rnacentral:misc_RNA from 1 species